CUGUGGGAGUCCAAGGACUGCAGCGUUGGGUCAGCUGACCCUGAGAGCUCUGGCGGGUCUUGGGUGAAAUGCAGGCCGAAGGCUCCGCGCGCAAAAGACUUGCCUCGAAAACCACCAGCCUAAACCAGGCUUCCCGUCAGAACUGCAGCAUUCAAGAAAAAAUGGAUUUGGAAAUUCGAAUACGAGAAGGAAUAUGGAAACUCCUUUCUUUGAGCACUCAAAAGAGCCAGAUUUUGCAGGCAGUUAAGAAUCUCAUGGUGUGCAAUGCUCGAAUAAUGGCUUACACAUUGGAGCUGCAGAAGUUAGAAGAGCAGAUUGCAAAUCAAGCUGGAAAAUGGUUUUCAUUUUCUUUUGACAGUGAGAAUUUUGAAAGUAAAGAACGGACAGCUUGUAGAGGAAAGAUUGCCAUAUCAGAUAUUCGUAUACCACUAAUGUGGAAAGACUCUGAUCACUUCAGCAAUAAAGAACGAUCACAGCACUAUGCCAUUUUUUGUUUAUUCAAACUGGGAGCUGAAGUUUUUGAUACUGAGAUGGUGAUUGUGGAUAAAACAAUCACAGAUAUAUGUUUUGAAAAUGUGACCAUAUUUAAUGAAGCAGGGCCAGACUUUCAGAUAAAGGUGGAAGUAUAUAGUUGCUGUACAGAAGAAUCUUCUAUAACUAAUACACCAAAAAAAUUAGCUAAGAAACUGAAAACAUCUAUAAGCAAAGCUGCAGGGAAGAAAAUCAGUUCAGUGCUUCAAGAAGAUCAUGAAAUCACGUGCUUGUCCUUCAGGUCUGCAAUUUAUGAUGCAAAGUACAAUUUGCUAGCUCAUACUACCCUGAGCUUGGAAAGCGCUGAGGAUAGCUUCAAGACUCAUAAUCUCUCUGUUAAUGGGAAUGAAGAAUCUUCAUUUUGGCUUCCCUUAUAUGGUAACAUGUGCUGCCGACUAGUCGCCCAACCAACCUGUAUGGCUGAGGAUGUAUUUGCGGGAUUUCUUAAUGAGCAGCAAAUGGUAGGAGGUCUAAUUCGUUGGAGAAGGUUGUACUGUGUUUUAAGAGGGGGUAAACUCUAUUGUUUUUACACUCCAGAAGAAAUUGAAGCUAAAGUGGAACCAGCUUUGAUAGUGUCUAUUAACAAGGAAACCAGAAUUCGGGCAGUGGAUAAGGAUAAAACGAAAAGAAUUCAUAAUUUCUCUGUCAUCAACCCUGUUGCUGGACAGGCUGAAACUCAUAUAUUUUCAGCUGACAAUAGAGAAGAUCUUCAGAAGUGGAUGGAAGCCUUCUGGCAGCAUUUCUUUGAUCUUAGCCAAUGGAAGCAUUGUUGUGAAGAACUUAUGAAAAUUGAGAUUAUGUCACCACGGAAACCACCUUUGUUCUUGACAAAAGAGGCAACCUCAGUCUAUCAUGAUAUGAGCAUUGAUUCACCUAUGAAACUUGAAAGUUUAACUGGUAUAAUACAAAAAAAAAUUGAAGAGACAAAUGGAGAGUUCCUAAUUGGCCAGCAUGAAGAAGCCUCAUCUCCUCCUUGGGCCACACUGAAAAAGGUAUUAUCUCCUGCAAGCAAGCAGUUACAUGAAGAGAAAGGGAAAAAGAGACGAGCUCCCCUUCCUCCUUCUGAUAAAGCUCCAUUCAACUUAAAAACACAAAGCAACAAAAAUCAAUUGAUUCAGGGCAACUGGGAAAAAACAGGUGUAUCUCAGACCUCGCCUUUGGAUACCAAACUGUCAACCCCGAUGCAUCACUUACAGAAACCGGUGGCUGCUCCUCGAAAACUUCUUCCUGCCAGGAAAAGUAGUUCAACUGAUGGUGAACACACAGACACUAAAACCAGUAUUGAAGCCAAGCCAGUACCAGCUCCAAGGCAGAAAACUAUCAAAGACAUUUUGGACCCUAGAUCAUGGUGGUGGACACAAGUAUAGAAAACCCUUAAUGUAUAAAACAUUUUAAAAAUCUAUAACUGUGAAGCUUAAUUCAGAAGCACUGUAGAUAUAGUAAUAUGAAUUAUGUAGGUAAAUAUGAUAGUGAUUUAUAUCAAUAAUUAAUAGGUAUAAAAAUAUUUUAUAAUUAAGAAAUGGAUUUCUCUUUUAUGAUUUUCAGAAUUGAAGUUAUUUCUCUAGUAGAGCAUAAGAGGUAGUUUCUAGACAAUAUCUCAAUUGUUGGAAGGGUUAAUUUAUUCCUAAAUUAGUACUAGGUGGUGAACAAGCACCAGGCAGAAGAAAGCAUUAAAAUUUCUUUGGGGAGAGAUUGUCUAGUAAUUUAAAAUGUGUUAAAUGAGAGCCAUAUUCUCAUUGUGAGAAUUUUAAUCCUAAUGGAAUGUUUCAAAAGUUUUAUUCAAACCACAAAUUAUAGAAUCCACCCAAGAAGAUUUCUUCUUAGCAUUCUGGAAUUCUCAUCUAAUAGUCCACUGGCUCUCAUCUAUUGUUUUACUCACUAGUUGACCUUUCAAAUUCCUGGGAUAAAUUUUGGAAUAUUAAAUUCUUCAUCUUUAAAGGGAAUAUGUAAUGUGUUAUUCAAAGUUGUUUCCUUGAUGAUCCCUGAAAUCCUAUUGACAUUACCUUUCAUAUGUAAAGCAAAACAUUUUUAAGUUUAGGUAACAGGUAGAUGAAAUGUUCUUUACUUCCACUUUUCUAUGCAUGGUAUUAAUUUCCAUUGUGACAUUGGCAUUUGGGGAAAUGAGUAGCUGUUAACACCUUAAAAUUCAUUUAAUAUUUAUUUAAAAAGCAGAUGACCUAUUAAAAAUACCAGAAAAUUUGGCCAUGAUCAUUUCAGAAUUAAUCCUUCUAAAAAUAUUAUUUAGAUUUCCUUUUUCUAGUAGGGGUUCGUGUCUGCUAUUGAUAUUUGUCAUUAAAGUCAUAUUAUUACAAGAAUGACAUUGGAAUCAUUUCCAUAGGAGGUAAUUUCCAUAGCAACUAAUCAUAGUGACACAAACAGAAUUAUGAAAUCUGGUGAGGAAUAAAUAGCAAAAGAAUGAAUACCUUAAAGGAACAAAAAAAACCUUUUUCUUAAUAAUUAUGCUUCUUAUAAAUAAGAGCUGGACAGUUUUAAAAAUCAGAAUUUCCAAAUAAAACAGUUUCCAUAAGCUGUCAGCAGCAGCACUAAAAAUCUCAAAUAUCAUUGUAAGAAAUGAAAAUAUAAGAAUUAAAUUACUGCCUUGUAUAUAAUCUCUAGAGAUUUUUUAAAGCUCAUAAGAACUCUAUUUGAAUCAGAAUUACGUUAUUACAAAGUAAAAUGAAUACUUCACAAAAAAUAACAUUAAUUUAAAUGGAUCCUUUCAUUAUUUUUAGAUAGCAGAGUCUUUUUUCAUUUAUGUAGAAUGAUGUAACUGCCAGGUUACUUUUGUGUUUGCCCAGGACUCCUAGUAAGAACUGGGACUCAAGGGAGUAAUGAUACAAAAGGUCUCUUGUGACUGGAGACACCAGGACAGACACAGCAUUUGAUGAGAAGGAAAUCCUAUAUGCUUGCCUGAUAAAAUUUAGAGAUAAUGAAAACCUAAAAAGGUCCUACUAAAUAUAUUUUACCUGGUACUGUUUAUUAAAAUGGAAGCUGCCUUGAUUUAGAGACAAUUCAUGGAAGGUAGGUUAAGCAGUCAAAUAUUUCUUUAGGCUUAUGUUCAGUACCUCAGCCACCUACUGAGAAGUUAAUUAAUUCAGUCCAAAUGAAAUUAUAGGGCAGUUCGGUGCAAUUUAUGGUAAAUGCCAUUUGAAUGCAGUCACCUGUGUUACCAUGAACAAGGAACAACCAUACUAGAUAGAGGUAAAAUGCUGCACCAUAAAUGAGAGAAGUGGUUUGGCAGGAAAAAUAUUUGUCCCUGUGGUUAGAAUUUGUCAAAACUCACUGUCUUUUUAAAGAGUGAAUUAUCACACAGUAUUUAAACUUUCGUGACCUUUUAUAUUCUCAUAGUUGUCUUCAGUGUUCUAUUAGAUUUACAUUUCAAGCCCUGAGAUAUAAAUUACUUAAAACAGCAUUAAAGUAAACAUAAUGUAAGUAGAGUUGACUUUUUGCAUUUACAUUUCAAAGACACUCCUCUUUUUAAAUGCUUACACAUUUAUGUGUAACUGCAUUGUUGCUAGUAAUAGUUAUAAUGAAAAUGGUCUAUUCUGUAUCGUGCUUAUUCUUGGUUAAUACUAGGAAUUUUGAAUUCCUAAAAACAAGAAUUUUUUGAAUUUUUAAAAACAAGAUUUCAUUUGAAAAUAUUGUAGAAUGUUAUUUUCUGUGGCAUAUUUGUAUAAUUGGCAUUGUUUAUAAUUUUUACCUUUUUAAUGUGGGUCAGGAUUCUGGAUUAAAAAGUAUUAAUUAUGCACAUAUAUAUAUUUAACUAUUAGAAAUUGAUAAACCAAGGUCAUGUGAUUAAAACUUCUAUACUUUAAAAGAGUGAUUCAUGAAAACAUUUUCUAGAUUUUUUUCCUUUAGGUAUGUCCUCUAGUCUAAACUGAUAGAAGUAAACAGUGCUGUGAAAUCAGGGUAAACAGAGAAAAGACAUACCCAGCAGCUGGUGCUAAGAAAUGUACUCAAAUGAACAAAGUACCUUAAUGUUCAAAUAACAUAACUUUAACUAUUAAAGAAAUAGUAACCAACAUUUUUAUUUAUCUCAAGAUAGGAAAAAUACCAAUCUUGGUGUGUUUGAUAGGCAAAAUCAUCUCCAUCUUGCUAAACUUGUGUUUUAAAUGGCAGCAAUUUGCUUUGAGAGAUGUGGUAAUCUCUUAAUGUUAACUACUAAAGGAGAGAAAUAUUGAAAAGAUAUAUAUACAUAAUUAUGCUUUGUCAUAAACAUGUUUCAAGAUAUCCAAAUAGAUAAUUUUGUUGAAAAUG